AAGCCAGCACCUCAAGUGGUCAGGAUGAUUAUUGGGCCUAAAGCAUCCGUAGCCUGCUCUGUAAGUUUUCGGUUAAAUCUGUACGCUCAACGUACAGGCUGUCGGGAAUACUGCAGAGCUAGGGAGUGGGAGAGGUAGACGGUACUCGGGAGGAAGUGGUAAAAUGCUUUGAUCUCUCGAUGACCACCUGUGGCGAAGGCGGUCUACCAGAACACGUCCGACGGUGAGGGAUGAAAGCUGGGGAGCAAACCGGAUUAGAAACCCGAGUAGUCC
rnacentral:rRNA from 1 species